UGCUUUGAUUUGUAAGCUCAGC
rnacentral:miRNA from 1 species